rnacentral:rRNA from 1 species
UACAGAGGUGGCAAGCGUUGUUCGGAAUUACUGGGCGUAAAGGGCGCGUAGGCGGUUCGUUAAGUUCGUUGUGAAAGCCCCGGGCUCAACCUGGGAACUGCAAUGGAAACUGGCGGGCUUGAGUGUGGCAGAGGGGGGUGGAAUUCCGCGUGUAGCAGUGAAAUGCGUAGAGAUGCGGAGGAACACCGAUGGCGAAGGCAGCCCCCUGGGCCAACACUGACGCUCAGGCACGAAAGCGUGGGGAGCAAACAGG